AUGCGGAUGCAGGCCCAAGCACUUGGGCCUCCUCCACUGGACUCCUGGACCACAGCAGAGAGCUGGACUGGAAGAGGAGCAACCGGGACAGAAUCUGGCACUCCCACCGGGACUAAAAACCGGGGGUGCCGGCACUGCGGGCAGAGGAUUAGCCUAUUGAGCCAUGGCACCGGCCCAAGGGGGGGGGGGGGGGGACACUUUCUAAGCCCACCUGACUUCAAUGCACCUGAGGUGAGCAGUUCCAUACGUACAUCUCGCUUCCUUUCCAAGAGUCAGAGAUCGCGGUGUUACCUCAAACCUUUCCCCCCAAGCCUUGGAGGACCCCUUCACUCUGUGCUCACAGUCACACCAGAAGGAAAGGGGGGGUUAACACUCUCAAACAGCCCUCUGCCACUGGACAACAAAGUGCAUACUGCACAAUUUCUCACAGGUCUCUGGGGGACUAAGCCUCAGUUGCCUGCAGGGGUCACCAGCUCAAUUGCACACUCUAUUUUUUAUUAUGCUUUUCUGUAUCUCACUUCCAGCAUUCUGGCUUCUGCGAGUCACUUGCAAAUAAGCUACCUGUCUCAGGCUCUGCUUCAAGAGGAACUCAAGAUAAGGCCACCCUCCGGCCAGGGUACUUUUUCUGCGGGAGGUACUAAUGCACAGUGCCGUACCCAGAAGAGGCACAGGAGCUGGAGAUGGCUUAUGGGGGACACGCAAGGCACCUGUCACAGAGACCAGGUUCAUUAUAUUGGGAAAGCAGAGGGGUACAAUGAAGGCACCUGGAUUUUGGUAACAGCCCAAGGAGGACAAAUGGGGGCUUCACUCAGGAAACCACCAUCCUUACUUUUUCAAAAGUCACUCCCGGGGCAAGUGCUGUGA
rnacentral:lncRNA from 1 species